rnacentral:lncRNA from 1 species
CGGCGCGAGAGUGCGGAGACGGCGUCGCAGCGUGUGCCUUGGCGCCCGCUGGGGCUAGCGUGGUAGCUGCUUUCGGUGCGCGCUGCACUCCCGAGACCCGGUUAAACGCUCCCGGAGAACCCAGGUUUCCGGAUUCUGGGAAAAGAAGAUAAUCUGAACGAUCAGUGACUUCCCGGGCUUUUUCAGCUGCAGCCAAAUUUAGG